AUUGAUUUUAUGCUUGCAUAAAUGAUUUUUGGAUUCGGAGCGAGUGGCGAACUGGUGAGUAACACGUGGGUAACCUGCCCCGAAGCGGGGGAUAACAUUUGGAAACAAGUGCUAAUACCGCAUAAUUAGUUGGAACCGCAUGGUUCCAACUUGAAAGAUGGCUCUGCUAUCACUUUGGGAUGGACCCGCGCCGUAUUAGUUAGUUGGUGAGAUAAAAGCCCACCAAGGCGAUGAUACGUAGCCGACCUGAGAGGGUAAUCGGCCACAUUGGGACUGAGACACGGCCCAGACUCCUACGGGAGGCAGCAGUAGGGAAUCUUCCACAAUGGACGAAAGUCUGAUGGAGCAACGCCGCGUGAGUGAUGAAGGUUUUCGGAUCGUAAAACUCUGUUGUUAAAGAAGAACAAGUGUUAGAGUAACUGUUAACACUUUGACGGUAUUUAACCAGAAAGCCACGGCUAACUACGUGCCAGCAGCCGCGGUAAUACGUAGGUGGCAAGCGUUGUCCGGAUUUAUUGGGCGUAAAGCGAGCGCAGGCGGUUUUGUAAGUCUGCUGUGAAAGCCCUCAGCUCAACUGAGGAAGUGCAGUGGAAACUACAAAACUUGAGUACAGAAGAGGAAAGUGGAACUCCAUGUGUAGCGGUGAAAUGCGUAGAUAUAUGGAAGAACACCAGUGGCGAAGGCGGCUUUCUGGUCUGUUACUGACGCUGAGGCUCGAAAGCAUGGGUAGCGAACAGGAUUAGAUACCCUGGUAGUCCAUGCCGUAAACGAUGAAUACUAGGUGUUGGAGGGUUUCCGCCCUUCAGUGCCGCAGCUAACGCAUUAAGUAUUCCGCCUGGGGAGUACGACCGCAAGGUUGAAACUCAAAGGAAUUGACGGGGGCCCGCACAAGUGGUGGAGCAUGUGGUUUAAUUCGAUGCUACGCGAAGAACCUUACCAGCUCUUGACAUCUUCUGCCAACCCAAGAGAUUGGGCGUUCCCUUCGGGGACAGAAUGACAGGUGGUGCAUGGUUGUCGUCAGCUCGUGUCGUGAGAUGUUGGGUUAAGUCCCGCAACGAGCGCAACCCUUAUUAUUAGUUGCCAGCAUUUAGUUGGGCACUCUAGUGAGACUGCCGGUGAUAAG
rnacentral:rRNA from 1 species